CCUACGGGAGGCAGCAGUGGGGAAUAUUGCACAAUGGGGGAAACCCUGAUGCAGCGACGCCGCGUGAGUGAAGAAGUAUCUCGGUAUUUUAAGCUCUAUCAGCAGGGAAGAAAAUGACGGUACCUGAUGAAGAAGCCACGGCUAACUACGGACCAGCAGCCGCGGGACUACGUCGGGGGCAAGCGUUAUCCGGAUUUACGGGGGGUAAAGGGAGCGUAGACGGAAGCGAAAGCCGGAAGUGAAAGUCCGGGGCUUAAUCCCGGAACUGCUGUGGAAACUGUGCAGCUAGAGUGCAGGAGAGGUACGUGGAAUUCGUAGUGUAGCGGUGAAAUGCGUAGAUAUUAGGAGGAACACCAGUGGCGAAGGCGGCUUACUGGCCUGUAACUGACGUUGAGGCUCGAAAGCGUGGGGAGCGAACAGGAUUAGAUACCCCUGUAGUC
rnacentral:rRNA from 1 species